rnacentral:rRNA from 1 species
AGAGUUUGAUUCUGGCUCAGAACGAACGCUGGCGGCGUGGAUAAGACAUGCAAGUCGAACGAUCACUAUUGGGUAGCAAUAUUCAGUAGUGGGAGUGGCGCAAGGGUGCGUAACACGUGGGUAAUUUGCCGUAAAGUCUGGGAUAACUUGCUGAAAGGCGAGCUAAUACCGGAUGUGAUUGCUGGAGGGCAUCCUCUGGCACUUAAAGUCGGGGACCGUAAGGCCUGACACUUUUCGAUAAGCCCGCGGCCUAUCAGCUAGUUGGUGAGGUAACGGCUCACCAAGGCUAAGACGGGUAGCUGGUCUGAGAGGACGACCAGCCUCACUGGAACUGAGACACGGUCCAGACACCAACGGGUGGCAGCAGUCGAGAAUUUUUCUCAAUGGGGGAAACCCUGAAGGAGCGACGCCGCGUGGGGGAUGAAUGGCUUCGGCCCGUAAACCCCUGUCAUUUGCGAUCAAACCUUACGACCUAACACGUCGUAAGCUGAUAGUAGCGGAAGAGGAAGGGACGGCUAACUCUGUGCCAGCAGCCGCGGUAAUACAGAGGUCCCAAGCGUUGUUCGGAUUCACUGGGCGUAAAGGGUGCGUAGGCGGUCGGGUAAGUCUGACGUGAAAUCUUCAAGCUCAACUUGGAAACUGCGUCGGAUACUAUUCGGCUAGAGGAAUGGAGGGGGGACUGGAAUACUUGGUGUAGCAGUGAAAUGCGUAGAUAUCAAGUGGAACACCAGUGGCGAAGGCGAGUCUCUGGACAUUUCCUGACGCUGAGGCACGAAAGCCAGGGGAGCAAACGGGAUUAGAUACCCCGGUAGUCCUGGCCCUAAACGGUGCACGUUUGCUGUAAGAGGAAUCGACCCCUUUUGUGGCGAAGCUAACGCGUUAAACGUGCCGCCUGGGAAGUACGGCCGCAAGGUUAAAACUCAAAGAAAUUGACGGGGGCCUGCACAAGCGGUGGAGUAUGUGGCUUAAUUCGAUGCAACGCGAAGAACCUUACCUGGCCUUGACAUGCACAUAGUAGAAGCCUGAAAGGGUGACGAGGUAGCAAUACCAGUGUGCACAGGUGCUGCAUGGCUGUCGUCAGCUCGUGUCGUGAGAUGUUGGGUUAAGUCCCGCAACGAGCGCAACCCCUGUGUCCUGUUGCCACCCCUUAACUGGGAGCACUCUGGACAGACUGCCUCGCUUCAACGAGGAGGAAGGUGGGGAUGACGUCAAGUCAGUAUGGCCCC